rnacentral:rRNA from 1 species
GAUGAACGCUGGCGGCGUGCUUAACACAUGCAAGUCGAACGGGAAACCUUUUAUUGAAGCUUCGGCAGAUUUCGCAGGUUUCUAGUGGCGGUCGGGAGAUUCCCGCGUGGGUAACAUGCCUUAUACAGGGGGAUACUAGUCAGACAUGACUGCUGAUACCGCAUGAGCGGGCACUACCGCAUGGUCCGGUGCGAAAAACUCUGGUUCGAUAAGAUGGACCCGCGUGGUAUAGGCCUGCUAGGGGGGUAAUGGCUCACCAAGGCGACGAUCCAUAGCCGGCAUGUGAGAGUCAGCGCCCACAUUGGGGCUGGGACGCGGCCCGGACUACUACGCGAGGCAGCAGUGGGGAAUCUUGCACAGUCGGGGGAGUCAUGAAGCUGCGACGACGCGUGAAGGAAGAAGUAUCUCGGUAUGGAAACUUCUAUCAGCAGGGGAGAUAGUGACGGUACCUGAAUAAGAAGCCCCGGCUAACUACGUG